rnacentral:rRNA from 1 species
UGCAGUCGAACGGCAGCACGGGGGCAACCCUGGUGGCGAGUGGCGAACGGGUGAGUAAUAUAUCGGAACGUACCCGGAAAUGGGGGAUAACGUAGCGAAAGUUACGCUAAUACCGCAUAUGCCCUGAGGGGGAAAGCGGGGGAUUCGCAAGAACCUCGCGUUUUCGGAGCGGCCGAUAUCGGAUUAGCUAGUAGGUGAGGUAAAGGCUCACCUAGGCGACGAUCCGUAGCUGGUCUGAGAGGACGACCAGCCACACUGGAACUGAGACACGGUCCAGACUCCUACGGGAGGCAGCAGUGGGGAAUUUUGGACAAUGGGCGCAAGCCUGAUCCAGCCAUGCCGCGUGAGUGAAGAAGGCCUUCGGGUUGUAAAGCUCUUUCAGCCGGAAAGAAAACGCACGGGUUAAUAACCUGUGUGGAUGACGGUACCGGAAGAAGAAGCACCGGCUAACUACGUGCCAGCAGCCGCGGUAAUACGUAGGGUGCGAGCGUUAAUCGGAAUUACUGGGCGUAAAGCGUGCGCAGGCGGUUUUGUAAGACAGAUGUGAAAUCCCCGGGCUUAACCUGGGAACUGCAUUUGUGACUGCAAGGCUAGAGUACGGCAGAGGGGGGUAGAAUUCCACGUGUAGCAGUGAAAUGCGUAGAUAUGUGGAGGAAUACCGAUGGCGAAGGCAGCCCCCUGGGUCGAUACUGACGCUCAUGCACGAAAGCGUGGGGAGCAAACAGGAUUAGAUACCCUGGUAGUCCACGCCCUAAACGAUGUCAACUAGGUGUUGGGGGAGGAGACUUCCUUAGUACCGCAGCUAACGCGUGAAGUUGACCGCCUGGGGAGUACGGUCGCAAGAUUAAAACUCAAAGGAAUUGACGGGGACCCGCACAAGCGGUGGA